AGACAGGUUCUUCCGCGCUGGUUAGCGUUGGUCCUGGCGAUUUUUCUUAGAAGAAAUCGCCAGGACCAUCGCUAACCGAAAUCAACGGCGCUUACAAGCUUACGAGCACCGAACGUGGAAGUCUUGACAUUUGUACUUCCAAGUUAUAACAACCUAUUCGUCUAUUUUGUAUCUAUACAUCGUAUUUAUUUAUGCGUAAGUUGGAGCAUUUUGUAAGUAUUUUGAAUUUUACAAGACCGGAAUGUUUAAUUAGUGGCCUUUACAAGAAUGAGGUCACUUAAUAAACCUACCCUGCAAGUAAUACGCGAAAAAGAAAUACAUAUAAGUACCUUUUUCUUUAUUUGUCCUAGGUAUGUAAAAGACUUGAGAGAUUCGUAACUGACUUCAAUUCGUUAUAGUACAUAACGGCUACCUUUUAAUUUUCAAUCAAAUCAUGUUUACGUACUGUUAUCUAACGUACUUAUUACCUAUAGGAUGCCUUUAGCUUGGGUCACGCAUUAUAACAUAUUAAUAAUGCAUAAUUUAUUCGUUAAAAGUUUAUUUACCAUUCACUGCAGACGCGGCGUUAAUUAGCCUUGAAAUCAUUAUUUCAUAAUGUAAUGCAAAGGUCCCAGUCCCAAGUACCUUUUCUGAUACAUGGAGACGAAAAUGUUUGUUGAACCUGCAACAGAACCGAGAAACGAGAAGCUCCUUCAGUUAUAUGUUGGUUUAGACUUUAGACAUAACAUGGACAUAACGUUCUUUGCCCCUUCUUCCACAGAUAAAUGUUAACUUAAUAAGAGGCCGAGGUCCAAUGUUACCGAGCUAGUUUUGCAGGGGUCCACCAUCAAAAAAGUUUUCGAACGAUCACGCACACCGUGCUGUCGACGGUCGAUUUUACCUAAUUGAACAAUAGUUGCAAAUAGUUGAAACAAAAAGAAAUGAAAAGGGCUGCAUUCUUUCUGAUUUAUUGUUUGGCUGUAAUAAAUGCUAGACCAGAAGAAACAAAGAUUAAGGCAUCUGAUGUUGAAAACGUAGA